GGUGUAAGGGUAAAAUCCGUAGAGAUCAGAAGGAAUGCCGAUUGCGAAGGCGAUCUACUGGAACAUUAUUGACGCUGAGACGCGAAAGCGUGGGGAGCAAACAGGAUUAGAUACCCUGGUAGUCCACGCCCUAAACGAUGUACACUAGUUGUUGUGAGGCUCGACCUUGCAGUAAUGCAGUUAACACAUUAAGUGUACCGCCUGGGGAGUACGGUCGCAAGAUUAAAACUCAAAGGAAUAGACGGGGACCCGCACAAGCGGUGGAGCAUGUGGUUUAAUUCGACGAUACACGAAGAACCUUACCUGGACUUGACAUAGUAAGAACUUUCUAGAGAUAGAUUGGUGUCUGCUUGCAGAAACUUAUAUACAGGUGCUGCACGGCUGUCGUCAGCUCGUGUCGUGAGAUGUUGGGUUAAGUCCCGCAACGAGCGCAACCCUCGUCCUUAGUUGCUAACAGUUCGGCUGAGAACUCUAAGGAGACUGCCUACGCAAGUAGGAGGAAGGUGAGGACGACGUCAAGUCAUCAUGGCCCUUACGUCCAGGGCUACACACGUGCUACAAUGGGAUAUACAAAGAGCAGCAAUACG
rnacentral:rRNA from 1 species